AGUGAACGCUGGCGGCGUGCCUAAUACAUGCAAGUCUAACGCAGUGGCGCACGUGUGAGUCAUAUAUUGUUAAUCUGCCCUUCACAGAGGACCAGCAGUUGGAAAUGUCUGCUAAUACCUCAUAGUGUAGGAUGAGUCUUUAUCGUAUCAGCUCGUUGGUAAGGUAAUGGCUUACCAAGGCUAUGACGCAUAACUGGUCUGAGAGGAUGAUCAGUCAGGUUGGAACUGAGACACGGUACAAGCUCCUACGGGAGGCGGCAGUAAGGAAUAUUGCGCAAUGGGGGAAACCCUGACGCAGCAGCGCCGCGUGGAGGAUGACACUUUUCGGAGCGUAAACUCCUUUUAUCAGGAAAGCGGUACCUGAUGAAUAAGCACCGGCUAACUCCGUGCCAGCAGCCGCGGUAAUAC
rnacentral:rRNA from 1 species